GGCUCAGUUUACGCCGGGUUCCUGAAAAAAUGAAAAACCUGAAGGACUUCAUGAAGUUCUGCUGCUGAACUGAUUCCUCAGUCAUUUCAAACAAACUGAUUUCAAGCAGCUGAGAUCCUUGAUGUUCAGCCCAGAUCCGAAUCUCAGUGUUGUUGUCCGCCCUCCCUCAUCCAGCAUGUGACUGACGACUCACCGCUUUGCUUCGCGGCUCUAAUUGUCCUCUGCUGUUUACUUCCACUGAACUCACAGAAAAUCCAGCGGGAUGGGAUGGGAUGGGUGUAACCGCAGCGAGGGAUAUCAGACAUGCAGCGACACGCGCUGCCACAGAUUCCAGGUGAUGUUCCUGUAAAAACCAAGAAAACAAAAGCUGCUAAAAAUACACGCCACUAAUCGCUCCUCUGAGCUAAAUGUGACUGUAGGUGGAAUAAAUGGCACCACGUCUUAAAGGAACCAACAUCCAGAUGAUUCCAGAAACACGACUGUAAUUGUGUUUAGUGAUUCUUAAUGUUGAGACAUUCAGAGAUUUUAUUAAUGUUAUUUGAUUAUUUAAAACGUUAUUUAAAUCAUUUUUUAAGAAGCUUCAGUGUUUUUAUAUAAGGUUAUAACUGACUAAAGGGGCUUGCAAAAGUAUUCACACCCCUUGACUUUUUCUAUAUUGUCACAUUGCAAACAUAAAUCAUGUGAUGGAAUUUAAAGGCAGUUCUGUGGCUUAUAGAGCGUAAAGCUGAUGUAGCUCUGCCUCCAGGCUGCAUCAAUGUUAGAUACAUGUUCAGUCUCUACAAAUUAUGAUUGAAUUUUCAUCAGUUAUGAUGUUCAGCAGGUUCCAAACUGGCUGUUAAAGGACUUUAGUCAUACAAACGACAGCAUCACUAAAGCUAUUGAGUCUAAGAACUUCCCUCCUAAAACAUUAGCAUGAAUAUAUUUACACCCCAGCAAUAAAACCUUGCAGAUCCAUUCCAUAAAAUCCUAAAUUUCCAUCUGUCCCAAACUGCUUCAUAAACCUGAGUGAACCUCCAAACCAGCAGCUUAACGACGGCUAGCGUCAGAGCGCCGCUGUGACCCAGAGCGGCUCUGUCACGUUUUAUUACCCCCAAAAUUCAGCUGAACACUUUGACUGUUAUCCCUGCUGGACGAAUCGUUAAAGUUACAAUCGUUGUCUGAUUUUUAAAGCUUCAGGUUUUAUUUAGUAAAAGCCACCAUUGAAAUGCUUAAAUGUCUCUUUUAUACAGAAACAGACUCAUUCAGUCAAACACGUGUGUGUUGAUUCUGAACUCAGUCAGACUCAACACCAACAAUUAAUGAGCCGAAAUCAGCAUGUUAAGAAUUUAUGAACUUGACUUUAAUGAUGGUUUGGAUUGAACUGAUGCAUUGAAACCUGUAAGAAUGAUAAAUACAAACUAAUAUAUAUCAAGAGGAUUGAAUGUAUAAAAUAAUAAAGACAGAGAAAAGCUAUUUUCCUCCUCAUUUCCAUCCUUGACAGUCGGUUCAUCCUGCAGCAGCAUCUUCCCCUCAACUGGACCUGCAGCUGCAGGGUGACUUAAAAUGUCUGAUUGAAUGUAAAAGAUUUUACAUAAGGAGUUGUGAGACAGUAUUUGUUUGAGUAGAAUAGAGCAGAGGCCUCCAAAUGUCCUGAAAUGUUUAGUUGAGUGACGCACCAAUCAGCUCCUCCGUCUGCUGCAGCUGAGAGCAACAUGUGGAGAAAUGAGGCAGAAACAAACCAACCUUUGCUGCUCACUUUGUGAAACGAUCCGUCUGUUCAGACGUCACUGAUCUAAACUUUAACUUUGCACCUCCGUCUCCUGAAAGACUGAAGAAUAAAAAUAAGAGAAAAAACCCAGAAAGGAUUUUGAUGUGCAGUUUGUAACGGAGGCUCCAUCAGCAGAGCCUGAUGUAAAUCUGAUGAUCUGGAGUUUUUAUGGCAUUUUGCAAUAAAAUUAUUUGAUGUUGAGUUUUCCUUUUAUGUUUUCUGAACAGCAGAGCCCUGAUAAUAUUUCUGUUUUUUCACUAAUUUGCUAAUUUGAUUGGUGGACAUCAGCGCCGACUUCACAGAGAAAUAAAACAGCAGAAUGUUAGUUGAAUAUUUGGUGCAGACUCUGUAUGAAACUGGUCUGUUAAAAACUAAAGUUAUCAUUUUUCAUGCACAACUUGAAAUAAAGAUCAAAGUUUUUC